AAACUUAUAUUGUUCCUACCAGAUUCACUUCAUUUGUGUUUUGAUCAUUUGGAAAAUGGAGCAAAAGAUGAGAAGCUACGAGAAGUGGACGACAAC